rnacentral:rRNA from 1 species
UAGGGAAUCUUCCGCAAUGGGCGAAAGCCUGACGGAGCAACGCCGCGUGAGUGAUGAAGGUCUUCGGAUCGUAAAACUCUGUUAUUAGGGAAGAACAAAUGUGUAAGUAACUAUGCACGUCUUGACGGUACCUAAUCAGAAAGCCACGGCUAACUACGUGCCAGCAGCCGCGGUAAUACGUAGGUGGCAAGCGUUAUCCGGAAUUAUUGGGCGUAAAGCGCGCGUAGGCGGUUUUUUAAGUCUGAUGUGAAAGCCCACGGCUCAACCGUGGAGGGUCAUUGGAAACUGGAAAACUUGAGUGCAGAAGAGGAAAGUGGAAUUCUAUGUGUAGCGGUGAAAUGCGCAGAGAUAUGGAGGAACACCAGUGGCGAAGGCGACUUUCUGGUCUGUAACUGACGCUGAUGUGCGAAAGCGUGGGGAUCAAACAGG